GCCAGACUCCUACGGGAGGCAGCAGUGGGGAAUAUUGCACAAUGGGGGGAACCCUGAUGCAGCGACGCCGCGUGAGUGAAGAAGUAUUUCGGUAUGUAAAGCUCUGUCAGCAGGGAAGAAGAAAGACGGUACCUGACUAAGAAGCCCCGGCUAACUACGUGCCAGCAGCCGCGGUAAUACGUAGGGGGCAAGCGUUAUCCGGAUUUACUGGGUGUAAAGGGAGCGUAGACGGCGAUGCAAGCCAGAUGUGAAAGCCCGGGGCUCAACCCCGGGACUGCAUUUGGAACUGUGUGGCUGGAGUGUCGGAGAGGCAGGCGGAAUUCCUAGUGUAGCGGUGAAAUGCGUAGAUAUUAGGAGGAACACCAGUGGCGAAGGCGGCCUGCUGGACGAUGACUGACGUUGAGGCUCGAAAGCGUGGGGAGCAAACAGGAUUAGAUACCCUCGUA
rnacentral:rRNA from 1 species